CCUACGGGUGGCAGCAGUGAGGAAUAUUGGUCAAUGGGCGCGAGCCUGAACCAGCCAAGUCGCGUGAGGGAAGACGGCCCUACGGGUUGUAAACCUCUUUUGCCGGGGAGCAACGGGCGCCACGUGUGGCGCCACUGAGAGUACCCGGAGAAAAAGCAUCGGCUAACUCCGUGCCAGCAGCCGCGGUAAUACGGAGGAUGCGAGCGUUAUCCGGAUUUAUUGGGUUUAAAGGGUGCGUAGGCGGAGCGUUAAGUCAGUGGUCAAAUUGAGGGGCUCAACCCCUUCCCGCCAUUGAAACUGGCGUUCUUGAGUGGAAGAGAGGUAUGCGGAAGGCGUGGUGUAGCGGUGAAAUGCUUAGAUAGCACGCAGAACCCCGAUUGCGAAGGCAGUUCACUGGACUGCAACUGACACUGAGGCUCGAAAGUGUGGGGAUCAAACAGGAUUAGAUACCCGGGUAGUC
rnacentral:rRNA from 1 species